CGCCAUGGGUUUCUCGUAGUGAAUGUCUGUAUUAUUUUGGUUUUGACAACUCCGGUCACUUACUGUCAUUUUUUAUAUUUGUUUUUGUUUACUACUUUUAAGUGUUCAAAAUUCUUAUAAUGACCUUAUUUACAUAAAAUGUUACAAUUAUACAAUUGUUUUGGCUACCAAAACCAAGAACAAAACAAAUUUGCCAUGGCAAUUACGAAGGUGUUGGUAAAGAGAGUUUUGACGGUCUUGACCAAGCAUGGACACACUUGGCGGCUAGACUUAACGACAUAGGGCUUCCAGAACAUUCUCAGAACGGUGACAAAAGUGUUCGAUCCAUAAGUACAGAAAGAAGAAGAAAACGUCCGAUCCAGAAAAGCGCGCAAGUUUUUUUCUAUCAAUUUUGUUCGUUUCAAUAGUUUUGGAUUAAUCACAACAAAUUGUUAGGUGCAGCUGCACAAUCCAAAGAUAUUCAUGGAGGAGUCCUCCAAUGGAGGACAAGUCAGUGUUUCAGGUAUAAUUACAUUUUGCUUCUAUCAGUUGCACUAGCUUUUUUCUGGCUGGACGAAUUCGUUAGAUACAACUCAGGCAUCUGAAGAAAGUGAUAAUUUACGUCGAAACGUUUUGAUCUUGCUGGGUCAAAUGUCACAAAAAGAAGACUUGAUAAUUGCGAAUCAGGAAAACAUUUUGGAUUAGCUAGGUUACAAUAGUUACGAUCAAGAACGAUUCAACCGAAGGUUUCAAAAUCGAUACGAGAAAAACAGCAAAUUGCUGCAUCUGGACCGCCACCACGUCCGCCGAAAGAAAUGUGGCCUACAGCUCCAGCUUCAGGCAAUCAUCAUCAUUUCGGGAACAGAUUCUAGCCUCUUCACAAUGUUCCAUGCAAAGGAUAUUCUGCUUUCUGCAAGACCCAGAGUGGUAAGGAAGCAAACUGCACUGUCCCAUACAGAGUAAUCGACAAUCCUGCCAAAUUGCCUGCCACACGUGUUGUGAGAGUUUUCGUCUGGGGACCAGCUAGGCAAUUUAAAGGAUGGCCACGGAAUGGUAGUCGGGUUAAAAUAUUUUCGAAAAUUGUGCAUUUUACUUGCGAGGAAAUGGAGGAAAUUAAAUUGGAUACGAAUGUUGCACACUGGUCUGUAAACGUAUUGAAUUUAUCACGGACUGAACGACAUUUGGAUCGAGCAGUGUUAAUUACAUUUUCGCAAAGCCUGGACAUUGCAAAAAGUAAAAACUAACUUCGAUUCUGAUUUUAUCAAUACAUUGUAUACAUUCAAUCGCCCAAUUUUAGAUAGUUUGUUUAGAUAGUUGAAGUGAAUAUAAUUAGAGAACUAUAUUUGUACAGUCUUUUUCAUUAAGAAUUACUACUACUAAAAAUUCUACAAGAUCUACAAUGAUACAUUUUGCUGAUAAAAUUAAGCAUUUAUUUCAUUUGAUACACAGUAUUGAAAUGUCGAUUAUCCAUUGCCUGAAGACAGAUAGGGCACUUAUUAUUUAUUGAUAAUGUGCGCAAUAGACACUGACGGCAAAAUAAAUGCCCACAAACGGUUGCCACUGGAUCUGAGAAUUUCGUUUCCAAACAAAUCGGACACCCAUUCCCCAUGUAUAUGUACUGCAACUCAGCUAUCGAUUGAGCCCGUCCACAAGGACAUUUUUUGCACUUCAGUAUGUGGGGCCAUAUGCAGUUUUUACAGAAAACGUGUCCACAAACCGUUAGCUCCAUUCUGCAGGCCGUUUGGCCACAUAUUGUGCACUUUUUGACUCCAGAUUCUGAUGAAUUCAUUUUUAAGAUUACAAUAAAAUGAAAUAAGAUCAAUGGAAUUUAUGAACAUUUGAAUUUCAAAGCACCCUGAGAUAGAAAAAAUCAUACACCAGAAAGACAUGAAACUAGUAGUGAACGCCAAGCAUGAAAUUCAAAAUCUUUAUUUUUAUCUAUUUAUUUAUUUAUUAGAGUUAGAAAACUUAAUUCUAAAUUCAAGUAACCAACAUCUCAUAUCCUCAAACAUGCCAAUAAUAACCGGAACUAAAUAAAAUUACCAUUUGAUUCUUAAAAUUUAUUUGUAAGGAGUGGGAAAAAAUACUGCUCACAAGACGAAGCCAGUAAAAACGAUCUUUUCAAAAACAUUUUCCAUAUAACGAAAUUCAUUCACCCUGUUUCUUCGUUGCUAAAAUGCAUACUGCAUCGCGUCUUUGAAUUGCAAUUGUUGAUAAUUUCUGCAACAAAUAGUCCGUGGAACGUGAUUCACCACUCGUACAGAAGUAAAUUUUAGCUUAGAAACUAUCGUCAAUUCUUUAAUUAAUAAUCUAUAUCUGCAUAAAAAUCAAUAAUCUACUAUUAACGUAUUCAUUUUCUAUUAACAACAAUAGAUUGUAGAUUCGCUGUGUGUAAGACUAUGUGUAAUAUAAAUAAAAUUAUACAUAAAAAUUUGUAAGAGGGAACGUUUGUACAGGAGUGUCUGUAAUGGGGA